rnacentral:piRNA from 1 species
UAGGGUUGCAGAUCCCCCCCC